AUUGAACGCUGGCGGCAUGCUUUACACAUGCAAGUCGAACGGUAACGCGGGGCAACCUGGCGACGAGUGGCGAACGGGUGAGUAAUGCAUCGGAACGUGCCCGGUAGUGGGGGAUAACUGCUCGAAAGAGCAGCUAAUACCGCAUACGACCUGAGGGUGAAAGGGGGGGAUCGCAAGACCUCUCGCUAUUGGAGCGGCCGAUGUCGGAUUAGCUAGUUGGUGGGGUAAGGGCCCAACAAGGCGACGAUCCCUAGCUGGUCUGAGAGGACGACCAGCCACUCGGGGACUGAGACACGGCCCAGACUCCUACGGGAGGCAGCAGUGGGGAAUUUUGGACAAUGGACGCAAGUCUGACCCAGCCAUGCCGCGGGCGGGAAGAAGGCCUUCGGGUUGUAAACCGCUUUUGUCAGAGAAGAAAUCUUCUGGGUUAAUACCUCGGGAGAAUGACGGUAUCUGAAGAAUAAGCACCGGCUAACUACGUGCCAGCCGCCGCCGUAA
rnacentral:rRNA from 1 species